rnacentral:tRNA from 1 species
GUCCUCGUAGCUCAGCAGGAUUAGAGCACGAUCCUCCUAAGAUCGGUGUCGGAAGUUCGAAUCUUCUCGGGGACGCCA